rnacentral:rRNA from 1 species
GACGAACGCUGGCGGCGUGCUUAACACAUGCAAGUCGAACGGUAAGGCCCUUCGGGGUACACGAGUGGCGAACGGGUGAGUAACACGUGGGUGAUCUGCCCUGCACUUCGGGAUAAGCCUGGGAAACUGGGUCUAAUACCGGAUAGGACUCCUGGCUUCAUGGUUGGGGGUGGAAAGCUUUUGCGGUGUGGGAUGGGCCCGCGGCCUAGUAGCUUGUUGGUGGGGUAAUGGCCUACCAAGGCGACGACGGGUAGCCGGCCUGGGAGGGUGACCGGUCACACUGGGACUGAGAUACGACCCAGACUCCUACGGGAGGCAGCAGUGGGGAAUAUUGCACAAUGGGCGCAAGCCUGAUGCAGCGACGCCGCGUGAGGGAUGACGGCCUUCGGGUUGUAAACCUCUUUCAGCUAUGACGAAGCGCAAGUGACGGUAGCAGCAGAAGAAGGACCGGCCAACUACGUGCCAGCCGCCGCCGUAA